GGUGGCGGUAGGUUACACUGCAGUCGUGCGAGAAAGUAUCUUCGGAUAUGAGUAGAGCGGCGGACGGGUGAGUACGCGUAGGAAUCUACCUAGUAGAAGGGGAUAGCCCGGGGAAACCCGGAUUAAUACCGUAUACCUCCUUCGGGAGAAAGAAGGCCUCUCUUUGAAGCUUUCGCUAUUAGAUGAGCCUGCGUAAGAUUAGCUUGUUGGUGAGGUAAAGGCUCACCAAGGUUACGAUCUUUAGCUGGUCUGAGAGGACGAUCAGCCACAUUGGGACUGAGACACGGCCCAGACUCCUACGGGAGGCAGCAGUGGGGAAUAUUGGACAAUGGGCGCAAGCCUGAUCCAGCCAUACCGCGUGUGUGAAGAAGGCCUUCGGGUUGUAAAGCACUUUAAGCAGGGAGAAAAAGUUAUAAGUUAAUACCUUAUAACCGUGAUGUUACCUGCAGAAUAAGCACCGGCUAAUUCCGUGCCAGCAGCCGCGGUAAUACGGAAGGUGCAAGCGUUAAUCGGAAUUACUGGGCGUAAAGCGCGCGUAGGUGGUUAGUUAAGUUGGAUGUGAAAGCCCUGGGCUCAACCUAGGAACUGCAUCCAAAACUAACUCACUAGAGUACGAUAGAGGGAGGUAGAAUUCAUAGUGUAGCGGUGGAAUGCGUAGAUAUUAUGAAGAAUACCAGUGGCGAAAGCGGGCUCCUGGAUCUGUACUGA
rnacentral:rRNA from 1 species